AAACCCACCAAAAAAUCAGUUAACCGGAAAAACAAUUUCUAUUAAAUGUUUAUGGUAGUGCCAUUAUUUGAUUUUCUCACCCUGAAGUUCUCAUCGAGCUGGUUGGCAUCAUUGCCAACAUCAACAAGUGCGACCAACACAAGUUGAGACCGCCCAUUGUUGAAAAUCCAGUGAGCCACUCCAGCAGGCAAGGCAACCACAUCACCCUCCUUCAACCGUCUGAGCUUUUGGUGCUGAUCUCUUUGUGGCCUAUCUUGUAUACUUUGUUGCGACUGUGAUUGAUAUGUCUCGGGACAACCUGGGAAGACAGCCCCAUGAAUACCCUCCCCUGUAUAUUUUGAAAACCAAAAGCAAUGUCAGCAGCAAUAUCAAUACUACGGUCCUACAUACAUUGAAGCUGCAGAGAGAGAAUUGUAUAGUGUUAGAAGACCUUGUUCAACAUAGAAAAGCAUAGGAGCACUGGUAAAUGAAGGCAAUAAAAGUCCUUUGCGCUGGAUCUUAUGACGUAGGAAAGCAACACCAGCACACUGGAAUUGAUCCUCAUUUUGGUCCCAGAACUCAGUUUCACCAGCCUCUGACCUAAACCGGUGCUUAGGCUGAAGAGCAUUCAAGUUCUGGAGUUGGCAUUGGGAUUGGUGACGUGGCUGAGGUUGCUGAGGCUGCCCCCAAGGUUGAUCCUGGUGAUGGUUAGUGACGAGAUCUAUCUGAGCAAAGCAGCCAUGGAAGAGAACAAGCAAGCAAACGCUAAAAGAAAGCAAAGAAGUGUAAGCCAUUAGAAAAUUU
rnacentral:lncRNA from 1 species